UCUCGGCAACGAAUAUCUCAGCUCUCGCAUCGAUGAAGAACGUAGUGAAAUGCGAUACCUGGUGUGAAUUGCAGAAUCCCGUGAACCAUCAAGUCUUUAAAUGCAAGUUGCGCCCGAGGCCAUCCGGCUAAGGGCACGCUUGCCUGGGUGUCACG
rnacentral:rRNA from 1 species